GCAGUGAUGGUUCAGCGGCAAAAUUCUCGCCUUCUAUGCAGGAGACUCGGGUUCGAUUCCCGGCCAAUGCA
rnacentral:tRNA from 1 species